AGUUGUUUAUUAAGUUGUUCCUAGACUCUCCAGAAGAGUCAGGGCCUGAUUCUGAGGUCUGUAUGCAAGAACAAUAAUCCAGUGUCAUCACCCCACUAAAUUUUCUGUGUCUCUAAAGAUGGGAACUAUUCUAAAGAAUAGGAAUAGGGAACAUCCUAUUUAUAUAUUUUUGUUCCACACCAUCUCACACAGUGAUUUCCAUGUGACAAUAGGAAUAAUCUUAUGAAGGAAGGAAUAUAAGCCGUAUUUUAUAGGCAAGUUACUAGGCUUAAAAGGCUUAAGGAAUUUACUCAGCCCCGCUCAGUCAAUGGUAGAGCAGUGUGUGUUUGUUGAAAUAAAUAUAUGGGUAUAGUUAUUUAGAACUGGAAUGAAUGUAAACUUUUUUGUUUAGAUAAUAUAAACUUUGGGAGAUUAGACUCCUGGAGUCACAUGCUUCGUCAUUGACUUAUGGAGGAGGAAGUGCGUUUCUCUAGCCACCAGACAAAACUUCACUCUAAGCCAAAUUUGGAUAUUGCUCACUGUGAAUCGAGCACUGUAGCCAGGGGAAUGGCGUGCACCUAUUGGCUUGAGCCUCUGUUAAAUUCCUUUAUCUGAAUUAAUAAUGACAGGAGCAAAAGGAAACAGGAUUCUUCUGAUUGGUUUAGGCCAAUGUCAGUUUACCUGUGGAACCACCCAGCUUGGAGAAUAUACAUAGAAUGGAUGCUGGAGAAACAGUCACAAAGCUCAGCAGAGAUGGAUAUUUGGAGCUGCAAAAGCAGUGGCAGCAGCAGCAACUUCUGCACGCACUUCUUGGGAGGAACAGGUGUAAGCCCUUGACCACAUUUGCAAAAGUCAAGUUCCUAUGUUACAGGCAAGAGGAGCUUCCUCUCCACAGUUUUCUUCUGGGGAAGUAUCUGUAACGAGGAGUGAGGCGACUGUGAGGCCAAAAGAACGGACGAAACUGAAAACGACGGUUGCACUUCCGAGGAAGGAAAGAUGUGGAUACACCUAUGACCUCAUUAUAACUUGUUCAGCUAUGUAUUUACAAAGUUUCCCGAAGAGUGGUUCACUUUCUGGAAAGAAGAUGUCAGUCACUCCACAGGCCUCCACUUGGAGAACAUUUUCCUGGGCAUUGCAGAAAGAACAAAACAGAACACAGUCCCUGGCUUCCAAGGGCUAACAAUCUAUCGGGGGAGACCAUGCAAGCUGAGGACCAAACUGAGGAAGAAUGCAAAUACUCACAAACUAGAAAAUGGCAGAUUCCACAGGCCUGAUGAGGAUCCUAGGCAAAAUUCUAGGACAGAUGAUUAAACGGACAAUUUGUCAGCAGUUUGGAAAGGAAGCAGGGAUCAUGGAGAACAAGGCAUUACCCACUGACUGGGCAGCUCUCUGUUGGUCAUGUAUCAUGUGCCACACACUGGUCUAGGUGCUGGGACUAAAACUUAGGGUUCUGCUCUCAUGGAGCUUAUGGUCGUGCAAGGACAUUAAAUACUAAGAAUAACAAUAAAGGGUCUUGAGUGUCAAGAGAGAGGAGUACUGGAGGCAGAGAAAUCUGUAAUUUUAUGUCACUGGGUGAGGUAUUACAUAUACUGAUGAGGGACUGAAGCAGAAAAAUGUUCACCUUUAGCCCAGAAGGCUGACCGACAGCCUGCAUUGUUCCGAUAAGGAUCAAAUACGUGCCCUUUGCUACAGUCUUAAAGGGUCUCAUGACUGCUUGUAAAUCUCACUGAUAGUUAAUAUCAAGCUGAAGGAUAAGCACCAGAGAAAUCUUGUGAAAGUAGUUUUACGUGUAGAAAUUUGAAGAAGACGUUUAUGAUCUAAUACUCCCUGCACGUCCCCUCCCCCUUGAGCACUAAGCAGCAGAAAGUGUAGCACUUUCGGCCCAUGGGUCCUAUCCCCGUGCUGUAAUAAAAGUACCUUUCUGGCUCUUUCCAUAAUUUGGCUAUUGUUGAAAGCGAUGAGAAAGAAUAAAAUCCUGCUAUUUGCAGCAACGUGGAUGGAACUGGAGGGUAUUAUGCUAAGUGAAAUAAGUCAGUCAGAAAA